rnacentral:rRNA from 1 species
AUGAACGCUAGCGGCAGGCCUAACACAUGCAAGUCGAACGGUAACAUAGAUUGCUUGCAAUCUGAUGACGAGUGGCGCACGGGUGCGUAACGCGUAUACAAUCUGCCUUUUGCUGAGGGAUAGCCCGAAGAAAUUUGGAUUAACCCCUCAUGGUAUCAUGUUAAGGCAUCUUAAUAUGAUUAAAGGUUACGGCAAAAGAUGAGUAUGCGUUCUAUUAGCUAGUAGGUGUGGUAACGGCACACCUAGGCUACGAUAGAUAGGGGCCCUGAGAGGGGGAUCCCCACACUGGUACUGAGACACGGACCAGACUCCUACGGGAGGCAGCAGUGAGGAAUAUUGGUCAAUGGGCGCAACCCUGAUCCAGCCAUGCCGCGUGUGUGAAGAAGGCCUUCGGGUUGUAAAGCACUUUCAGUAGGGAAGAAAAGCCUAAGGUUAAUACCCUUGGGUCUUGACGGUACCUACAGAAGAAGCACCGGCUAAUUCCGUG